rnacentral:rRNA from 1 species
UACGUAGGGUGCAAGCGUUAAUCGGAAUUACUGGGUGUAAAGCGUGCGCAGGCGGUUUUGUAAGUUUGUCGUGAAAGCCCCGGGCUCAACCUGGGAAUUGCGAUGAAGACUGCAAGGCUUGAAUCUGGCAGAGGGGGGUAGAAUUCCACGUGUAGCAGUGAAAUGCGUAGAGAUGUGGAGGAACACCGAUGGCGAAGGCAGCCCCCUGGGUCAAGAUUGACGCUCAUGCACGAAAGCGUGGGGAGCAAACAGG